rnacentral:lncRNA from 1 species
GUCCUUGCCCCCUCCAUUGAGUCCGUUGUGCACUGCCACAGGAUUGCAAGUGGCAAUGGACGGGUGACAUAACGUUGGGUCUGCAGCUCUGAACCACCCAGAACUGAGGAAGGGGAUGGUGUUUAAAGCAGGGGUUUGGGGCUAGGCCUGUCUGGCACUUCGAGUGAGCCCAGAACAGGGACCAGCUCUUGUCCCCUCUUCGCAGAGGCCCAGGAUGUGGUUUGUGUAGGAGCUGAAGGCAUGUGAUGCCUUCUAGCUCAUGUUUCACACCUGCCUCUCUUGUCUUUUCAGAUGCGCUGGCUCCCUCCCUCAGAGGCUGCUUCUCAGGGCUGGAAGUCCCGUCAGUUCUGCUGAAUACUGUGUAUCAGGUGUGUGAUGGUGGCUACAAUCAGUCUUGUGGGUAUUAAUGGAGCCUUUGAAGGUGGCUACUGGUUUCUCAUGCCCUCCUUCAAAACUACAGUGUGCUGGCUUGAAAAACCUCACACAAGUUUUGAUUCCUUCAAGACUUUGCCACAGCCUCUAUCACACAUCUGCUCUCGUAGAAGAAAAAAAGCAUACAAACUAAUGAAGUUUUCCUUUUUUACACUGUAUUGUUGUAAGGAAGAGUGUUACUUGUGAAAGCAUGGUUGGACAGUCAUUGCUGUAGAGUUUGAAACGUAUUUUCAAACAAAAAAGCAAACUAUCAAAGCAAAAGGAGAGCGAGUAUUUUUAUACCAAACAUUGUGUAUAUAACAAUCUUACACCGGGUUAGAUCACAA